rnacentral:tRNA from 1 species
AUAAAAGUAGCAAAACUAAUGCAUUAGGUUUAAGCCCUAAAGAUGAUUAUAUUAAUCCUUUUAUA